rnacentral:rRNA from 1 species
AUUGAAAUAAACCUGAUGGGUUGCUGCUGGUUCUCUUGGGAGCAUGUGCACACCUUGUCAUCUUUAUAUCUCCACCUGUGCAUUUUUUGUAGACCUUUCAGGUCUAUGUUGCUUCAUUUACCCCAAUGUAUGUUAAUAGAAUGUUGUGCCUAUAAUAAUAUAUACAACUUUCAGCAACGGAUCUCUUGGCUCUCGCAUCGAUGAAGAACGCAGCGAAAUGCGAUAAGUAAUGUGAAUUGCAGAAUUCAGUGAAUCAUCGAAUCUUUGAACGCAUCUUGCGCUCCUUGGUAUUCCGAGGAGCAUGCCUGUUUGAGUGUCAUUAAUAUAUCAACCAUCUCCUAUUUGAGUUGUUUGGAUGUGGGGGUGUGCUGGCCUCUUAAAUGAUUCAGCUCCCCUGAAAUGCAUUAGCAGAACAACCUUGUUCAUUGGCGUGAUAAUUAUCUAUGCUAUUGAAUGUGAGGGCAGUUCAGCUUUCUAAUCGUCCUUGGACAAUUUAUCAUUAAUGUGACCUCAAAUCAGGUAGGACUACCCGCUGAACUUAAGCAUAUCAAUAACG